rnacentral:rRNA from 1 species
CCUACGGGUGGCAGCAGUGAGGAAUAUUGGUCAAUGGACGAGAGUCUGAACCAGCCAAGUAGCGUGAAGGAUGACUGCCCUAUGGGUUGUAAACUUCUUUUAUAUGGGAAUAAAAUGUUCCACGUGUGGGAUUUUGUAUGUCCCAUAUGAAUAAGGAUCCGCUAACUCCGUGCCAGCAGCCGCGGUAAUACGGAGGAUCCGAGCGUUAUCCGGAUUUACUGGGGUUAAAGGGAGCGUAGGAGGAUUGUUAAGUCAGUUGUGAAAGUUUGCGGCUCAACCGUAAAAUUGCAUUUGAAACUGGCAGUCUUGAGUACAGUAGAGGUAGGCGGAAUUCGUGGUGUAGCGGUGAAAUGCUUAGAUAGCACGAAGAACACCGAUUGCGAAGGCAGUUCACUGGACUGCAACUGACACUGAGGCUCGAAAGUGUGGGUAUCAAACAGGAUUAGAUACCCCAGUAGUC